UCGUAUCUAAGGAAAGAUAUUUGUCAGUUUUUGGAAAGAUGGUUUGAUUAUGAGAAUAAAUAGUUUUUCGUUUGAAAUGAAGCGAAGUCGGAGUGAACUUGUUUCUUCAGCAGUGGGCAGCUUUCUGAGAAGAAGACAAUAUUCGGACUCGGAAACAUUCAAAAAGAGUGACCUGAACAUUCAUCAAGUUCUUCAGGAGAUGACUUUGAAUGCCACUGUCUGUGUUGGUACAGGAAUGAGAAAUGCUUUCAGCUACACUAGCAUCAGUGGAGAUGCCACUGCUGUGGACCAGCAGUACACAAGGUUGAAGAACUUUUUAUCUGAAGCUUUAGAGCCCUACAAGUCUGAACUCUCAUACAUUCUCUUUCCUAUGUUUAUCCAUCUUUACUUGGAAUUGGUGACUAAUGGUCAGAAGACUGCAGCUCAAAAGUUUCAUUCCAGACAUCAUGGACUUUUUCUUCAUUCCCAAGAGUACAAAAGUGUAGCAGAGAAUCUUUGCAGCAUUGUUACCCUUCAAGACCUUACAAAGUUUUCUACUGUAAAGGAACUUAGGGAAAAUAAAUUCCAUGUGCAACUCAGUGAAGAUUGUGUAGAAUAUUUCUUGAAAUUUUUAAAGGAUAAUGAUCAGCUUAUACUUCUUCAGGUGUUAAACAUGUACUUUUGUAUCGAAGUGGUUAAUUUAUCAGAUCGAGAUUCUAAUAAUCUGCAUAUUAAAGAAGAUAGUCCACCAACAAAACUCAGCCAAACUUCAAGUCCUGCUUGUGAGAUUAAGAAUGAAAAAAGUCCUAAGUCACUUACUAAUAGUAAAGAAUCUUUGGAAGCUUUGAAACAGGCCAUCAGGAAAGUGUCAGAAAGCCCUCCUUGCCUUCCUUCAGUGUGUUUGUAUACUGUGAACAAUACACAUCAGGGACUUAGUAGUGUCAGCUUGUCCCAGGAUACUACUCUUUUGGCUGGUGGCUUUGAGAAUUCAAGCAUUCGUCUAUGGAGUCUGACACCCAAGUCUUUAGAAUCAAUGAAAACUGAUGUUGAUGUGUCUAAGAUUCGUCUUGGGUACGAUGUUUUGCCAGGAGAUUAUGAAAUGGAAAAUGAUGUUUCUUCAAGCCAUGUCAAAGUGAUGAGAGGUCAUGGAGGGCCUGUAUACAGCCUGGCUUUUGUUCCAAGAAGUAAUAUAUUGUUAUCUGCUUCAGAAGAUACAACUGUCCGAGCAUGGAGUAUGACAAACCACACCAAUGUUGUAAUUUAUAGAGGCCAUGCUUAUCCUGUCUGGUCUCUGGAUAUUGGGCCAUUAGGAUUUUAUUUUGCUACAGCAUCUAAAGACCACACUGCAAGAAUUUGGACUACAGACAGAACAUAUCCUCUAAGGAUAUUAGCUGGACAUAACCUAGAUGUUGAUUGUGUAAAAUUUCAUCCAAAUGGAAACUAUGUUGCCACUGGUUCCAGUGAUCGAACUGUUAGACUUUGGAGUGUUCAAGAUGGAAAGAUGGUCAGGAUGUUCCAUGGUCAUAGAGGCAGUAUUUUUGCCCUAGCGUUUUCUCCCAAUGGACAGUACCUGGCUUCUGCAGGUGAAGACAGGAGGAUAAAAAUCUGGGAUCUUUCUUCAGGAUUGGUCAUGAAAGAGUUACGGGGACAUACAGACACUGUUUACAGUGUCUGCUUUAAUAAUGACAGUACCGUUUUAGCCUCGGGAGGCUUGGAACAUGUGCUCAGGAUUUGGGAUGUCAGAAAAGGAAUUACCCACCAUGGAGGACAUACUGCUACUGGUAGUACUGCUAGCACAAAUCCCAGAUCCGACAGAAUAGAUAGUCACACUACCCCAGAAUUGCUAGGAGCCUUUCCAACCAAAUCCACUUCUGUGCAGCUUGUCCAGUACAACUGGCAUAACUUAUUGCUGGCCAUAGGAGAAGGAGUAGAGACACCUAGUUCCUGACUCUCCUAAGGUGGGUUGUAUAACAAUUCUUAGAACUUCUAGAAUUCUGCUGAAGAAUUGAAAACUUUAGUAUAUCUCCUAAAUCAGAAGAAUGUGUUCCCACCAAUAUGUACAUAUAUGAAUAUAUACUUUUCUACAAAACUUUAAACUGUACUUGUGUAAUUAUCUAAUAAAAUGUAAAGAAAAAAGUUUGGAGUGAUUAACUUAA
rnacentral:misc_RNA from 1 species